AAAGAAACCAACAGGGAUUGCCUUAGUAGCGGCGAGUGAAGCGGCAAAAGCUCAAAUUUGAAAUCUGGCACUUUCAGUGUCCGAGUUGUAAUUUGAAGAAGGUAUCUUUGGGUCUGGCUCUUGUCUAUGUUUCUUGGAACAGAACGUCACAGAGGGUGAGAAUCCCGUGCGAUGAGAUGUCCCAGACCUAUGUAAAGUUCCUUCGAAGAGUCGAGUUGUUUGGGAAUGCAGCUCUAAGUGGGUGGUAAAUUCCAUCUAAAGCUAAAUAUUGGCGAGAGACCGAUAGCGAACAAGUACAGUGAUGGAAAGAUGAAAAGAACUUUGAAAAGAGAGUGAAAAAGUACGUGAAAUUGUUGAAAGGGAAGGGCUUGAGAUCAGACUUGGUAUUUUGUAUGUUACUCUCUCGGGGGUGGCCUCUACAGUUUACCGGGCCAGCAUCAGUUUGAGCGGUAGGAUAAGUGCAAAGAAAUGUGGCACUGCUUCGGUAGUGUGUUAUAGUCUUUGUCGAUACUGCCAGCUUAGACUGAGGACUGCGGCUUCGGCCUAGGAUGUUGGCAUAAUGAUCUUAAGUCGCCCGCU
rnacentral:rRNA from 1 species